rnacentral:rRNA from 1 species
UACGUAGGGGGCAAGCGUUGUCCGGAAUCAUUGGGCGUAAAGAGCGCGUAGGCGGUCCGGUAAGUCCGCUCUGAAAGUCCGGGGCUCAACCCCGGGAGGCGGGCGGAUACUGUCGGGCUAGAGUCCGGAAGAGGCGAGUGGAAUUCCUGGUGUAGCGGUGAAAUGCGCAGAUAUCAGGAGGAACACCGGUGGCGAAGGCGGAUCUCUGGGCCAUUACUGACGCUGAGGAGCGAAAGCGUGGGGAGCGAACAGG